GAUGAACGCUGGCGGCGUGCCUAAUACAUGCAAGUCGAGCGAACGGACGAGAAGCUUGCUUCUCUGAUGUUAGCGGCGGACGGGUGAGUAGCACGUGGAUAACCUACCUAUAAGACUGGGAUAACUUCGGGAAACCGGAGCUAAUACCGGAUGAUAUUUUGAACCGCAUGGUUCAAAAGUGAAAGACGGUCUUGCUGUCACUUGUAGAUGGAUCCGCGCUGCAUUAGCUAGUUGGUAAGGUAACGGCUUACCAAGGCAACGAUGCAUAGCCGACCUGAGAGGGGGAUCGGCCACACUGGAACUGAGACACGGUCCAGACUCCUACGGGAGGCAGCAGUAGGGAAUCUUCCGCAAUGGGCGAAAGCCUGACGGAGCAACGCCGCGUGAGUGAUGAAGGUCUUCGGAUCGUAAAACUCUGUUAUUAGGGAAGAACAUAUGUGUAAGUAACUGUGCACAUCUUGACGGUACCAAAUCAGAAAGCCACGGCUAACUACGUG
rnacentral:rRNA from 1 species